rnacentral:rRNA from 1 species
AACGAACGCUGGCGGCAUGCCUAACACAUGCAAGUCGAACGAGACCUUCGGGUCUAGUGGCGCACGGGUGCGUAACGCGUGGGAACCUGCCCUUAGGUUCGGAAUAACUCCCCGAAAGGGGUGCUAAUACCGGAUAAUGUCUUCGGACCAAAGAUUUAUCGCCUUUGGAUGGGCCCGCGUUGGAUUAGCUAGUUGGUAGGGUAAAAGCCUACCAAGGCGACGAUCCAUAGCUGGUCUGAGAGGAUGAUCAGCCACACUGGGACUGAGACACGGCCCAGACUCCUAGGGGAGGCAGCAGUGGGGAAUAUUGGACAAUGGGCGAAAGCCUGAUCCAGCAUGCCGCGUGAGUGAUGAAGGCCUUAGGGUUGUAAAGCUCUUUUACCCGGGAUGAUAAUGACAGUACCGGGAGAAUAAGCUCCGGCUAACUCCGUG